CACACACACACACACACACACACACAAGAAACAAGCAAACUAAUGCAACCAAUGUAACUCAUUACCACACACACACACACAAACUCCAAUGUAAUUCAUUAACACACACACACAUACAGACACAAACUCCAAUGUAACUCAUUACCACACACACACUCCACUUUCUCUUCCUCCUUUACCAUAAAUGUAAAGAAUCAUCAGUGAAAUCCCUCUGAAAGAUUCUCUGUGAGGUCUAGGUUACUGGAGGAGGGUAAAUAGAAACAGCUACAGUGUUGCCAGUAAGACCUCGUGCCUCUGACUUCAGCAGAAAUCCAACCCAGAUGCAUGGCACGCUCCCUGCUCCACUUCUCAGGAAGGAAAAAGGAUCAAGACAGCAGACGAGGUUCAAAUAUACCUGCUGUUUAAUGAGCUUGUGUUGAGAAUCUAAAGGCCCUAUGAUGAUUGGCUGCUACACUCCUAGAUUAUAAAUAUUGUCCUGUCACUGGUAACCCAAGUAUCUCAUAUGGAGUGCUAUUAGUGCCAACAGAAAUUUAACUGAAUUAAAUGUUGAUUAAAGGUAUGUUGUCACUCUAUAGUCCCAGAUAGAUCUAGGUGGGUUAGACGUAGUACAAGAGGUUUUGGUCCAGGUCUACAGUAUAUCUCAAUAGGUUUGGUCCAGGUCUACAGUAUAUCUCAAUGGGUUUGGUCCAGGUCUACAGUAUAUCUCAAUGGGUUUGGUCCAGGUCUACAGUAUAUCUCAAUGGGUUUGGUCCAGGUCUACAGUAUAUAUCAAUGGGUUUGGUCCAGGUCUAUAGUAUAUAUCAAUGGGUUUGGUCCAGGUCUACAGUAUAUCUCAAUGGGUUUGGUCCAGGUCUACAGUAUAUCUCAAUGGGUUUGGUCCAGGUCUAUAGUAUAUCUCAAUGGGUUUGGUCCAGGUCUACAGUAUAUCUCAAUGGGUUUGGUCCAGGUCUACAGUAUAUCUCAAUG
ensembl:lncRNA